rnacentral:rRNA from 1 species
CUUUUCUAUGGAAGCUUGCUUCCACUGAGAAGAUAGUGGCGGACGGGUGAGUAACACGUGGGUAACCUGCCCAUAAGAGGGGGAUAACAUCCGGAAACGGGUGCUAAUACCGCAUAGUUUUCUUGAUCGCAUGAUUGAGAAAGGAAAGACGGCCUUUGUGCUGUCGCUUAUGGAUGGACCCGCGGCGUAUUAGUUAGUUGGUGAGGUAACGGCUCACCAAGACGAUGAUACGUAGCCGACCUGAGAGGGUGAUCGGCCACAUUGGGACUGAGACACGGCCCAAACUCCUACGGGAGGCAGCAGUAGGGAAUCUUCCGCAAUGGACGAAAGUCUGACGGAGCAACGCCGCGUGAGUGAAGAAGGUUUUCGGAUCGUAAAACUCUGUUGUCAGAGAAGAACAAGUCGGAGAGUAACUGCUCCGGCCUUGACGGUAUCUGACCAGAAAGCCACGGCUAACUACGUGCCAGCAGCCGCGGUAAUACGUAGGUGGCAAGCGUUGUCCGGAUUUAUUGGGCGUAAAGCGAGCGCAGGCGGUUCCUUAAGUCUGAUGUGAAAGCCCACGGCUCAACCGUGGAAGGUCAUUGGAAACUGGGGAACUUGAGUGCAGAAGAG